UGUAGAGCCAAUUGUUUGGGCUGAUAGAUCUACGUGGAUGUCUCCUCUAUAGAACAGAUAAUGUUUUGUGGAAAUUGUGUGCCUAAAACAGAUUAUAUAUUUUCUACUAUAGAAUUUUUUUAGUAAACAUAUGAUGUGGUGGGAUUCUCUGUACCGAAGUAUUAUCAGUUGUAAUAUUACAUUAAAAUUAUUAAAACAUAAACGUUUCUUGCAUAAUAGUAUGUUGGUGUGACGAAUGUAAAGUAUUAUAAUACAGGACACCAAAUAUAAUUGUUAUAUAAAAUUAAGUACACCGCUGACGUGAAGUUACUGUUAUAUCUACUUGUUGAGAAAAAUCUAAAUGCUGAUUAUAUUAAAAAUUGCAGAUGAAUAAACUCCCUUGUUCUAUAAAUAUAUUUUUAUUUCAAUAUAAAAAUGAUGGGGAGAUUUAAAGACGAAUUUUUACCACAGACGGGAGACUACUUUCCACUGACCUUCCAGUCUAAAGUCUGUAAAUACCUGAGUUAAUAACAUGUAAACCUGUUAUUAUGACUACGAUCUUUACGGGAGAAGUUGUAGUAGAACAUGUCGAAAUUACUCAAUGAAUAGCAGCUUAGUGUCAAUAAAUGCAUGGAUUGGAUAUAUACAUAAAAUUUAAACUAGAUUUGUUUUAUGGUCAUGCCACAUUAAGGUAAACCUUUGGAGAGUUCUGAAGAUUGAUUAUUAGUUGACUUUACAGUAAACUAAUAAAUGAAACUUCACUGAUGGCUUAAGAACAUUGAUAUGGAUACAAAUGUUGAAUUUCGGCUUCUGUGAGUAAACGUUAGGCAUGACUAGGACACAAGGCAAAGGCAAUUGAGACUGUUUGGCCCUACCAGAGCUCGCAAAGACCCUUCUACAGACAACAAUACCAGGGAAAAAAAAGAAAGGCAGACAAAAGAAUCGAUGGGAAGACAACAUCUGUAAGAGGAUGGGGGAGAUGUAGGAAUAGUCAAAGCUGUACACCCAGCAACAUGAUGACUGUGAAUUCUAGUGAUAACUAAAAUGGAUUGUUUUGAGGCUUCAGACGAUGGUAUUCCAUAACUCUAAACAAUGGAUAUUGAUGUAGACGAUGUAUCUUUGUCCGCCAUUUCUCAAUCAGAUUGCCACCAAUCCUAUCGACAUGAGUACAUGAGUACUUAAUGACCAGUUUUGAGUAGUUUCAACAGAUGAUGUGUAGUUAGUGAAAGAAAUUAGUUGAAUUUGUGAACAAAGAGAGUUCAUUGAGGAAGAUAUACUGAUUGAGUCAGGAUUUCCAGAUAAUGAGUUAUGCCUUGAAAAUCACCAAUACACAGCUAUGAGGGAAAUGUGUGUCCACAAUUUGCCCCUAGAAUUUCAAGAUCAGAAUUUUCUUUUAUUUCUCAUAAUGGCACGUAUCCUCACGUGCAAAAUUAUUGUCCGGGGCAUAUCACAGCAUCGGCCUCAGAGUUUCGCUCUGGAUCGACGCAUUGGGGACAUGGAGCGUGUAGGUACUGGAAGCCUAAUAGACGUAAGCAGAUGUGGGCUUCACAGACAAUGGGAAUUGCUGCAACUAGCUGGUCUGAAUUGUGAUAGGAGAGACUUAUUCACCCUUUCUAUACUUACCAGUAGACAUUUGGUGUACGACACGGACGAAGCACUACACACCACUGUGCAGUUCUUCCAUUUUUUCAAUCAUGUUCCAGCCACGGAAAUAACUGGACGCGACAUUCGGCCUUUUCCUGACGGAGAUGAUCAGACGUGUCUUUUAAUUUGUAAGGGUGUACAGCCUGGUCUGAUAGAGGAACUGAAGGAUAUACAGGACAAGCUUCUGGGGCUGGAGAACUCUAUACCAAACAUUAUAAAAGCGAGAUUGUCCAAUCAGACAUUCCUAGUGAGUUAUCCCCACGGAGAACAGCAGAUGAUGUGUCAGGGAUGGUGUCAAGAAAGAGAAGACAACAAUGCGGACGCUGGAGAUAGACCCCGUAAAUGUCUAGAACAUCAAGUCUGCACAUGUCCAGGGAGUCUCGGUGCACCAAUGAUAACCUUUAGGAAUCUUCAAAACCCAUCAGGCUCAAAUUACAAAAUGGACAUAUGGCUCCAUCUUGGAAGAAAUUUGGAGACAGGCUUUAAAGUGUCACACGUAAAAUAAUGUCCAUAGUUGUAAUUUGUCUUCAAUUCUCAUUAGUGAUUUUUGUAAAUAAAUGUGGAUUAUAGCCUACAAGAAAGGAGAUUAAAUGCAAUGUACGUACAAAUAGGCGGUACAGUGGCUUAAGGGUAAAGCGCUUGGCUUAAGAAACGGAGGUCCCAGUUUCAAAUCUCGGUGAAUACUGGGAUUUUUUAUUUCAGGAUCUUUAGGGCACCUCUGAAUCAACCUAGUUGUUAUGGGUACCUAACAUUAGUUGGGGAAAAGUAAAAGUCGUUGUGCUGGCCACAUAACAUACUCGUUAACCGCACACCACACAAAGAGUUAACCUUUGCAUCAUCUGCUUUAAUAGAUCGCAAGUUUGAAGACGGGAAUUCUUACGUCCAAAUAUAUGUCAAAUAAUGUUUACACUAUGUACACAUUCUAACUAAAAUGACAAGAUUUUGUGCGAUGUGUUACAGUCUUUCAUUGUUUUAAUGACUCAACAGCACAGGAGUACUAGUAGUUCUUCCUAUACUGCCUACCUAUAUACUGGAUGGCUGCCUGGUCGUGCGGUUUGCGCGCUGGACUGUCGUUCGGAUUUAUCAAUGGUUUCGGGUUCAAACCCUGACCGCUCCCAUCCCCCGUCGUCCUGCGGGAGGUUUGGACUAUCUUAUCUUAUCUUAUAUAAUACAGACGUUACUUCAAAAAAGAAGAUGAUUACGUCCUACGCUAGGAAGACUAGGAAGUAAAUUCUCUUCAACUCUGAAGGAACAUCCGAAACGUGUUAAACAUUUUACAAACAUAUACUGUUAUCCCUUCAGCGAUUGUGUAGCUCAUCUUUCAUUAAACAGAAACAGUUUUUAAAAGGGGGAAAAGGCGAUAUUAUUUUUGUGUGGAAUGUCUGUCCGUCCGUCCGAACUGUGUAACUACGAACAUAUCUUGAAAACCAAAAUCCUGUAUGACUUUUUAAAUUGAUAUUGUGUAUAAGUUGUCAAUGCAAUGCAAUCCAUUUUUUAUAACAUUUAACUGUACGAUUUCAGAGGUGUCACCUGUGAGGCUACAAAAUAAUUAACAUGCAGGAUCUGACCCCCUUUGCAUCAUAUGUCUCCGCCCAUAGGUCAAAAAAGUGUAAUAGGGAAACAGUUGUAGAUCUAUGUGCACAUUGUAUUGUAUGCAACUAGUUUCGAUAUAUAUGGUAGCCGAAUUCUCUAUAUGAAACUUUAAAGAUUAUAAUGUUCCUAUAUUGUAUUAUUUAGAGAAUUCCGGUGGUUUAAAGUUGUUGUUUUUUUAAUUGCUUAUUGCUUAAUAUGUUAUAUAAAUAUUUAUAGCACAACGCAAUGCAUUUUCAUAUCAUGCAGAGUUAUUUAUGUCGUUGCAAAUUAUGAGAAACUUUGGUAAAGAACAAAGCAGCAGCCCAUUGAAGUAGAUAUCCUUCAGAGACGCUGGAGAUGGAGAGGUCACACCCUUUGCAAUCCUGCAUCCAACAUUCCAAGACAACCCCUUCACCAGAAACCCCAAAGGAAAGAGGAAGAGGGGACGGUUCACUAAUACAUUGUGUCGCGAUUUGGAAGCAGAUGCCAAGAAGAUGGGCGAGACGUGGGGACAGUUGGAGAGACUCGCCCAGAACCGAGACGCCUGGGUGAAGCUGGUUGGUAACGUAUGCCCCAGACGGAGAACAGGAAGAGAUGAUGAUGAAAUUACGUCUUUUUUCUGUUUGAGAAUUUAAACAUAAUAAUUCAUCUGCAUCGAAGACGUAAUCACAGGCAUAAUAGACAUAAAGAAAAGUUCUGAAAAUAACCUUAUAGUUUAUGUUUUAGAUUUAAUUAUAUUAUUUUUGUUAAUUUCAUAGAAAUUUUGAAUAAAAAAAAUUUAACCAGCAGGUAAAUGUAACAUUUACACAUUCAUUGUAUGCAUUAUUUUUUAUUGGGGGCGGCCAUAUUCCAAAGGGAUACUACUUAUACUCACGUUACUUUCUCAAUGCCAAUUAGAGUAACAUCCCCUAAAAUUUCUUCAGCCGAGAAAAUGUGUCGGCAGUGCAUCUAAUGUAAAACUUUGUUUCCUGUGAUUUUAGGAUUAGCUUUUUAACA